rnacentral:rRNA from 1 species
GAUAAACGCUGGCGGCGUGCCUAAUACAUGCAAGUCGAGCGAACGGACGAGAAGCUUGCUUCUCUGAUGUUAGCGGCGGACGGGUGAGUAACACGUGGAUAACCUACCUAUAAGACUGGGAUAACUUCGGGAAACCGGAGCUAAUACCGGAUAAUAUUUUGAACCGCAUGGUUCAAAAGUGAAAGACGGUCUUGCUGUCACUUAUAGAUGGAUCCGCGCUGCAUUAGCUAGUUGGUAAGGUAACGGCUUACCAAGGCAACGAUGCAUAGCCGACCUGAGAGGGUGAUCGGCCACACUGGAACUGAGACACGGUCCAGACUCCUACGGGAGGCAGCAGUAGGGAAUCUUCCGCAAUGGGCGAAAGCCUGACGGAGCAACGCCGCGUGAGUGAUGAAGGUCUUCGGAUCGUAAAACUCUGUUAUUAGGGAAGAACAUAUGUGUAAGUAACUGUGCACAUCUUGACGGUACCUAAUCAGAAAGCCACGGCUAACUACGUGCCAGCAGCCGCGGUAAUACGUAGGUGGCAAGCGUUAUCCGGAAUUAUUGGGCGUAAAGCGCGCGUAGGCGGUUUUUUAAGUCUGAUGUGAAAGCCCACGGCUCAACCGUGGAGGGUCAUUGGAAACUGGAAAACUUGAGUGCAGAAGAGGAAAGUGGAAUUCCAUGUGUAGCGGUGAAAUGCGCAGAGAUAUGGAGGAACACCAGUGGCGAAGGCGACUUUCUGGUCUGUAACUGACGCUGAUGUGCGAAAGCGUGGGGAUCAAACAGGAUUAGAUACCCUGGUAGUCCACGCCGUAAACGAUGAGUGCUAAGUGUUAGGGGGUUUCCGCCCCUUAGUGCUGCAGCUAACGCAUUAAGCACUCCGCCUGGGGAGUACGACCGCAAGGUUGAAACUCAAAGGAAUUGACGGGGACCCGCACAAGCGGUGGAGCAUGUGGUUUAAUUCGAAGCAACGCGAAGAACCUUACCAAAUCUUGACAUCCUUUGACAACUCUAGAGAUAGAGCCUUCCCCUUCGGGGGACAAAGUGACAGGUGGUGCAUGGUUGUCGUCAGCUCGUGUCGUGAGAUGUUGGGUUAAGUCCCGCAACGAGCGCAACCCUUAAGCUUAGUUGCCAUCAUUAAGUUGGGCACUCUAAGUUGACUGCCGGUGACAAACCGGAGGAAGGUGGGGAUGACGUCAAAUCAUCAUGCCCCUUAUGAUUUGGGCUACACACGUGCUACAAUGGACGAUACAAAGGGCAGCGAAACCGCGAGGUCAAGCAAAUCCCAUAAAGUUGUUCUCAGUUCGGAUUGUAGUCUGCAACUCGACUACAUGAAGCUGGAAUCGCUAGUAAUCGUAGAUCAGCAUGCUACGGUGAAUACGUUCCCGGGUCU